ACCUAGGUGGCUCAGUGGGUUGAGCGUCUGACUUUGGCUCAGGUCAUGAUCUUGAGGUUCAUGGGUUUCAGCCCCACAUGGGUU
rnacentral:tRNA from 1 species